CAUAUCGUAUUUCAGAUCCGGCAAAUCCGGAUUUCCUUUACCGUUAGUAUAUUAUUAUCGUUUUCGAGUAAAACGAGUUAUACAUAUGAUAAAUCGCGAUAAUCGAUUGCGGUUUAUCACUAUAGGACCGUGGUACCACAGGGUUAUUAUUUAAUCGCGUUCACCCCAUUUUUAUGGUUACAUUAUGCAUAAAUUCUAAUUCUGAUUUUUGGAAUUUUGAGUGUAAUGAAAUUCGAACCGAAAGUUUAUACUGCUUGAAAUACUAAGGAUAAUAGUCUUAUCUAUACGGGCAUUAGAUAUCGAUCUUUUCAUAGGAGCCGUGUAUGACCAAUUUGAAUUUACGCAUAAUUUAACCAUAAAAAUGGAAUGAACACGCUUAAAAAAUCACCCUGUAUGCACACAUAUACA